rnacentral:rRNA from 1 species
GACGAACGCUGGCGGCGUGCUUAACACAUGCAAGUCGAACGAAGUGGCGAACGGGUGAGUAACGCGUAAUCAACCUGCCCUUCAGAGGGGGACAACAGUUGGAAACGACUGCUAAUACCGCAUACUACCAGAUGGACCUGCGUUGUAUUAGCUAGUUGGUGAGGUAACGGCCCACCAAGGCGAUGAUCAGUAGCCGGUCUGAGAGGAUGACCGGCCACAUUGGGACUGAGACACGGCCCAGACUCCUACGGGAGGCAGCAGUGGGGAAUCUUCCGCAAUGGACGAAAGUCUGACGGAGCAACGCCGCGUGAGUGAUGACGGCCUUCGGGUUGUAAAGCUCUGUUAAUCGGGACGCGGUACCGGAAUAGAAAGCCACGGCUAACUACGUGCCAGCAGCCGCGGUAAUUC